GCCUGGCCGGCUCAGUCAAUAGAGCAUGUGACUCUUGAUCUCAGGGUCGUGAGUUCAAGCCUCAUGUUGGGCA
rfam:Felis catus isolate Cinnamon breed Abyssinian chromosome B1, whole genome shotgun sequence.